AUUGAACGCUGGCGGCAGGCCUAACACAUGCAAGUCGAGCGGAUGAUGGGAGCUUGCUCCUGGAUUCAGCGGCGGACGGGUGAGUAAUGCCUAGGAAUCUGCCUGGUAGUGGGGGACAACGUUUCGAAAGGAACGCUAAUACCGCAUACGUCCUACGGGAGAAAGCAGGGGACCUUCGGGCCUUGCGCUAUCAGAUGAGCCUAGGUCGGAUUAGCUAGUAGGUGAGGUAAAGGCUCACCUAGGCGACGAUCCGUAACUGGUCUGAGAGGAUGAUCAGUCACACUGGAACUGGGACACGGUCCAGGCUCCUACGGGUGGCAGCAGUGGGAAAUAUUGUACAAUGGGCGAAAGCCUGAUCCAGCCAUGCCGCGUGUGUGAAGAAGGUCUUCGGAUUGUAAAGCACUUUAAGUUGGGAGGAAGGGCAGUAAGUUAAUACCUUGCUGUUUUGACGUUACCGACAGAAUAAGCACCGGCUAACUUCGUGCCAGCCGCCGCGGUAAAAC
rnacentral:rRNA from 1 species